UAGGGAAUCUUCCACAAUGGACGCAAGUCUGAUGGAGCAACGCCGCGUGAGUGAAGAAGGUUUUCGGACCGUAAAGCUCUGUUGUUGGUGAAGAAGGAUAGAGGUAGUAACUGGCCUUUAUUUGACGGUAAUCAACCAGAAAGUCACGGCUAACCACGUGCCAGCAGCCGCGGUAAUACGUAGGUGGCAAGCGUUGUCCGGAUUUAUUGGGCGUAAAGCGAGCGCAGGCGGAAGAAUAAGUCUGAUGUGAAAGCCCUCGGCUUAACCGAGGAAUUGCAUCGGAAACUGUUUUCUUGAGUGCAGAAGAGGAGAGUAGAACUCCAUGUGUAGCGGUGGAAUGCGUAGAUAUAUGGAAGAAUACCAGUGGCGAAGGCGGCUCUCUGGUCUGCAACUGACGCUGAGGCUCGAAAGCAUGGGUAGCGAACAGGAUUAGAUACCCUGGUAGUCCAUGCCG
rnacentral:rRNA from 1 species